CCUACGGGAGGCAGCAGUGAGGAAUAUUGGUCAAUGGGCGUAAGCCUGAACCAGCCAAGUCGCGUGAGGGAUGAAGGUUCUAUGGUUCGUAAACCUCUUUUAUAAGGGAAUAAAGUUCGGGACGUGUCCCGUUUUGUAUUUACCUUAUGAAUAAGGAUCGGCUAACUCCGUGCCAGCAGCCGCGGUAAAACGGGUGAUCCGAGCGUUAUCCGGAUUUAUUGGGUUUAAAGUGUGCGUAGCCGGUCUUUAAGUCAGCGGGGAAAGUCUGUGGCUCAACCCUAGAAUUGCCGUUGAAACUGGGAGGCUUGAGUAUGUUAGAGGGAGGCGGAAUGCGAGGUGUAGCGGUGAAAUGCUUAGAUAUGACGCAGAACCCCGAUUGCGAAGGCAGCCUGCCAAGCCAUGACUGACGCUGAUGCACGAAAGCGUGGGGAUCAAACAGGAUUAGAUACCCUGGUAGUC
rnacentral:rRNA from 1 species